GGGAGACCCCCGAUGGUGAAGCGGCUUGCCCGUGGAGCUUUUGGGGGUGGCACAGACCAGGGGGUAGCGACUGUUUACCAAAAACACAGGAGCGUGCGAAGGCGCAAGCCGCUGUAUACGCUCUGACGCCUGCCCGGUGCCGGAAGGUUAAGAGGAUCCGUCAGGCUUCGGCCGAAGCGGUGAAUUCAAGCCCCGGUAAACGGCGGUGGUAACUAUAACCAUCCUAAGGUAGCGAAAUUCCUUGUCGGGUAAGUUCCGACCUGCACGAAUGGCGUAACGACUUCCCCACUGUCUCGACCAGGAGCUCGGCGAAAUUGCAGUACGAGUAAAGAUGCUCGUUAAGCGCAGAAGGACGAAAAGACCCCGGGACCUUUACUAUACCUUGGUAUUGGCAUUCGGUGUGGAUUGUGUAGCAUAGGCGGAAGGCUUCGAAGCCACGGCGCCAGCCGCGGUGGAGCCGCAAGGUGAAAUACCGCUCUGUUCGCAUUGGAUGUCUAACCUCGACCAGUCAUCCUGGUCAGGGACAGUGCCUGGCGGGUAGUUUAACUGGGGCGGUUGCCUCCCAAAGAGUAACGGAGGCGCUCAAAGGUUCCCUCAGCCCGGUUGGCAAUCGGGUGGCGAGUGUAAGUGCACAAGGGAGCUUGACUGCGAGACUGACGGGUCGAGCAGGGACGAAAGUCGGAACUAGUGAUCCGGUGCCGGUGUACGGACGCGGCAUCGCUCAACGGAUAAAAGGUACCCCGGGGAUAACAGGCUGAUCAUUCCCAAGAGUCCAUAUCGACGGGAUGGUUUGGCACCUCGAUGUCGGCUCGUCGCAUCCUGGGGCUGGAGCAGGUCCCAAGGGUUCGGCUGUUCGCCGAUUAAAGCGGCACGCGAGCUGGGUUCAGAACGUCGUGAGACAGUUUGGUCUCUAUCCUCUGCGCUCGUCGGAAUGUUGAGGAGGCCUGCCCAUAGUACGAGAGGACCUGGGUGGACGAACCUCUGGUAUGCCGGUUGUCACGCCAGUGGCACGGCCGGUUGGCUACGUUCGGAAGGGAUAACCGCUGAAAGCAUCUAAGCGGGAAGCCUGCUCCAAGAUAAGCAUUCCAUAGGACUACGGGUCCUUGAAGUCCCCAUGCAGAACACGUGGUUGAUAGGCCGGACGUGGAAGCCCCGCGAGGGGUGGAGCCGACCGGUACUAACGGACGAAAGGCAACACAACAAUCCAACCCCGGUUGG
rnacentral:rRNA from 1 species